rnacentral:tRNA from 1 species
GCGGGGGUACCCGAGCCAGGUCUAAGUAGUGGGCUGUGAAGAACCCCCUAGGAGAAGGGGGAGGACUUAAGAUCCUCUGGCGCAGGCCUCCGCGGGUUCAAAUCCCGCCCCCCGCACCA